rnacentral:piRNA from 1 species
UCAGUUGGUAGAGUGCUUGCCUAGCACGAA